GACGAACCGUGCGAACGUUGUUCGGAUUCACUGGGCUUAAAGGGCGCGUAGGCGGACUCGCAAGUCUGUGGUGAAAGCCCCCAGCUCAACUGGGGAAGUGCCGUGGAUACUGCAAGUCUGGAGGAGGGUAGGGGCAUCUGGAACGCUGGGUGGAGCGGUGAAAUGCAUUGAGAUCGGAAAGAACACCAACGGCGAAAGCACUCUGCUGGGCCGACACUGACACUGAGAGACGAAAGCUAGGGGAGCAAAUGGG
rnacentral:rRNA from 1 species